rnacentral:rRNA from 1 species
GACGAACGCUGGCGGCGUGCUUAACACAUGCAAGUCGAACGGAAAGGCCCUGCUUUUGUGGGGUGCUCGAGUGGCGAACGGGUGAGUAACAAGUGAGUAACCUGCCCUUGACUUUGGGAUAACUUCAGGAAACUGGGGCUAAUACCGGAUAGGAGCUCCUGCUGCAUGGUGGGGGUUGGAAAGUUUCGGCGGUUGGGGAUGGACUCGCGGCUUAUCAGCUUGUUGGUGGGGUAGUGGUUUACCAAGGCUUUGACGGGUAGCCGGCCUGAGAGGGUGACCGGCCAAAUUGGGACUGAGAUACGGCCCAGACUGCUACGGGAGGCAGCAGUGGGGAAUAUUGCACAAUGGGCGGAAGCCUGAUGCAGCAACGCCGCGUGCGGGAUGACGGCCUUCGGGUUGUAAACCGCUGUCGCCUGUGACGAAGCGUGAGUGACGGUAAUGGGUAAAGAAGCACCGGCUAACUACGUG